ACAUAUAAUAUAUGUAUGUAUAUGCCAAUUAUAAUUCAACACUUUUAUAUGCUAUUAUUAAGAUACUGUUGUUAUGCAAAACGAAUUACCAACAAUUAUCGUACGAAACUGAAGGAAUAUAACGUGUUUUCUUAGACAUUCUCAAUUCAAAUACAGCCCCACCUAAUCUUUGGAGAGGUGAGCUCACGGGCACAACCUCUGUGCUUAGUGCGAGUUUUUUAACGUUCUCGAUAGCGUAAAAGUUAACUCAAAUUUGUAUGCAGUCUUCGAUCAACAAUAGUAACUAGAUCCACGGUCGGUGCAGAAAAUCAGUCUCGUCAAAUAACAGCUCACUUGAAAUGUGAGCUGUUAUUUUGUUUAGUUCACUUCAAACACAGCCAAUGUCAACCCGUCUCACAAUGCCGCAGUGUGUAUUCAAAAGUUGCAAAAAUAAUGCCCGAAAAAGCAAUUUAACGGCCGGAGUAUCUUACUUUCGCUUUCCUAGCAAUCACGUGUGCAGAAUGGAUCUCGAUUGUCGCCAGAGAAACAAGAGAUGACUUUUAUAAGCCAGCUAAGAUCUCCGCUUAUUGACACUGGACAUCUUUGCCUUCCGUGCUCACGGCUACUGAAACGUGGCCGAAACAUUGUAAUAAAAAUACCGCGCUUGAAACCGUUUAAA